ensembl:lncRNA novel transcript
GGAAUCUUGCUGUGAUGAGUUUUAAAUGCCUCCCAUACUGAAUGUUCUCCAACCUCUGUCUCCAGCUCCAAUCUCUGGAUUUAGAGAUCUCUGGAUAGAGUUCACUCUAUCUAGCUCCACAUUCCUAAAAGGAUGAGAAAACCUGGAGGCCUCUAAGCACUUUAUGCUGAAUUGGUUUGCACCCAAAACAUCAUAGUCCUGUAGAAUUUCACGAGAACUAUGUGAGCAUAGUUCUAGUUUCUUUGAAUGGCACAUCACUCCAGCUGCUUAAACCAGGGCCCAGAAGAGUCUUAAAUGCCUUCUUUACCCUUUUACUCCAUGUCCAUGCAGUCUACCUGCUUUCAGAACCCAGAGGAAAAGGAUGUCCUCAUCCCCAAUUUACAGCAAAAGCCAUGAAUUUACAGAUGACAGCUUCAGAAUUCAUGUCAGGAUAUGUGUUCUAAUCUGAAUAAAGCAUUAUUUCCAA